rnacentral:misc_RNA from 1 species
AAGUCGUAACAAGGUUUCCGUAGGUGAACCUGCGGAAGGAUCAUUAAAAAAUUCAAAAACCAUAAGAGUAUCUAUUCCUUUUUCUGAGGAGAAAGGAUAGUGCUCAUAUGAACCUUGUGUGCACUGUUAUAACGUCUUUGACGUGUUCAGAAGUUUUCCGGUGGUUUAAAGUUGAUAUGAAAGUAUUAACCCGCCGGGAAGUGAAGAAUCGUCAUUCUUAUAUUAAACCCUUAUUAAUAGCCUUGACUGAAGUUAAAUCUAUGCAAUUUUGUAUAGAAGAAUUUUGUAAUUAAAAUACAACUUUCAACAACGGAUCUCUUGGCUCUC